AGAAAGAGAACCAUCCACCAUUGCUAAUUACGCCAUUACGCCUAUGGCGCUUUCGAUUUCAGCUCUGAACCAUUUCGCAUCCAUACAACUCAAAUGCUUUCCUUCCAACUACACCAUUCUCGUCUCCUCCUCUUCCUUUCUUGUUCCUUCUUCUGCCUCCUCUGCCUUCUCGCCGAGGAGAUUUUCUGCGCUGGCCAUUCCUAAACGCUGUCGUUUGCAACGCGUUUCUGCCUCUGCUGCUUCUAGAGAUGACGAUUCCCGACGGGCUGGUGAACUUUCGUCCCUCUCACCUGAAUUUGUUGUUCUCAAUGUUGAGGGUAUGAUGUGCGAGGGAUGUGCAGAUAGUGUGAAAAAGCUUCUGGAGAGUCGACCCCAAGUAUCAUCCGCUAGCGUAAAUCUGGCAGAAAAAAUAGCAACAGUUUGGCCAGCACCUGAAGCAAAAACUGGAUCAAAUUGGCAUAAUAAAUUAGGAGGUGGACUUGCAGAGCAUUUAACAAACUGCGGCUUCAAGUCUAGCCUUCAAGGUCCGGAAGAUGGAGACUGAAGGAGUUAUACCAUAAAAGAGAAGGUGGUCAUCCGGAGUCAAGGGCGAGUCUGUGAGGCUUCUUGUGGUGGGGUAUUUGAUAAAGAGAUCUGUUCUUGGCCGCUCUGCAUCUUGAAGAAUUUGCUGAUUGCUGGUGUUCAAUAUAAGCAAUCCAUCAAGAUUUUUCAAAGGACUCAGUUAAUGUGAAGUUGAUUGUAUAUAGUUGGCAUGAUAGAUGGGAAUAUCUAGUGUGAAGUGAGCAUGAUGUCAGAAGUUCGAUCCCGGUCCCUUUCCAUUACUUCCAAGGCUUAGGAGCCUCCUUUGUACUGGAAUCCAACAUUAAAGUAUUUUCUUAUGAAGAUUUAUUUCAUCCACAAUGUCCAAUACACCCAUACAUACAUAUUUGUGUGUCUCAAAAUAAAAUUUACUUGUAGUUUAUAAUUUGAUAUCGGGAAACCCUAAUAAUUUGUUUAUAACAAAAUAAAUAAAGCCUUAUUGUAAGCCUUUGAACGAAAAUGAGGCUGCCUGUAGAGUGUCAUCACUUUGCUAUUUGCAGACAAGUUUACUGUUUGUUUACACUUA